ensembl:lncRNA
GUUACUCUUUCUACUCUUUUAACAAAGGCAGUUUAUGUAGAACAUUUCAAGAAGAAUACACAAGAAUACACAAUAUAAUCCUGCAGCUGAAUGUAUGCCAAUCCGGAAAGUUCCAAAAGCUUUUGGUUGGAGAAGCAGCUGCUCUCCUCAGGAUUUGCUGGAGAUGCCGACAGGUGGAAGCGAGCGGAAUCCAUCUCCGGCCAACAAGAUGGAUGAACUGCUGCUCCUCAGCAAAGCUAACACAGACUUCAGCAGAUCCGACGCCCUGACAGUCACUGUAAACUGGCUCGUGAGCACAUCCCGGUACAUCUGCCGGGCUUCCAACUCAUCCGAGCGGACCGAGGAACGGCACUGUCGAGGGAAAAUGAGGGUAGGCAGAAUCUGCUUUGAUAUUAACAGAGGUUGGUGUAGUGUUGUCACGGUGUUAAAGGAAUCAUGCAUCGCUCACCUCGGGCCUGUGUGAAUGAGGUGGUCCACCUGGCUGAGCAGAUCAUCAAUGGGGAGCACAGACUCCCUGCUGUUCUUAGGGACUUCAACGAGAUAAAACCUCAGCAAAGAACUGCCCAAAUAAAGAAAGCACAUUACAUGUAGCACAAUGGACAAAAACAUUCUGGACCUGCUGUUACACUGUAGUAAGUAUGCUUAUCCCUCAGUCCCCCAUGUAUGCAACAUUGUCUAGUUCAUCUUAUCCCAACCUAGAAAGCUUGUGUUGUGAGCAUUGCAAAACAACAAUAUACCCUGGUUUAAUAAGAACAUCUAAAAGUAAGUUUUCAUUAAUCGUUUAGGGUAUUAUAAUGUUAAUAACAUACAUUGUCAUAUUUCUUUGGAUUGAAGAAAUGGAUAUUGAUAUUUACUGUAUCAAAAAUAUUGAGUGCCUCUUCAUAAAGCCUUCAAUCUUCCAUAGAAUACCUACUGCUAAUCCUCUCCUCACUCGGCUCUCAGGGGCUUGUUGACCUUAUUACAAUUAUUUUGACCUUUUCACUGGCCGACUUCUCCAGUUGAGGAUAAGGGCACAUUACAGGGAAGUGAUCAGUUGAGCAGAAUGGCUGACAAGGGGUCAGAUGGACAGGACUGUCAGUGGUAGUGCCAGGGCGGAGCUUGAGAUGGAAAGAGUCCCGAAUGUCAGAGAUCAGGGCAGCGAUGAGGAAGAAAGAGGGUGAGAAACGCAGUGGAGUCGAGGCACGCUGUUCACUGUCCAGAUGACCCCUCUCACUUGCAUGCUUGCCUGGCAGCGAGUCAGUCCAUCAUGUUGACUUUAACUGCUGAGCAACAUCUGUUCAUUAGACCUGACAGAUGAAAGAGAGGCCCAUGAAGAUAGGCUGUGAGUGUAUCCAUUACAUCGUCCAUAUCGUUAUAAGAGCUUACAUAUGUACUGAAGCAGCUCUGGUCAGCUGUUGUGCUUUCAGUCUCUUGUUCAUGUGAUCUACACAGCCGGCUGCACAGAUAGGUAACAGAGGGAAUUGGGUGAGAGGUAAUCCAGGCAUUUGCUUCAUCUGUCACACUUCUUUCAUCUCUGUAGUACCGUGCUGAAGGUCUUUGUCUCCAUUACAUUGUUUUGUGGCUUUUUUCCCCUCAACCUUCGAAAUGUCACAGGGAAAUGAGCACAAGGCACUGACAUGGAUGAGAAACAAUAAAUAAUGCAGUGUACAUGGUUGGGCAUCGCCAGAGUGAUAGAUAGAGAUAACACAGUGGCAAGUUCAAAAACUUGCAUUUGCAUACUCAACAUCCAACCGAAGCAUGUAAAUAUAACUAUACACGUGUGUUGUGUAGUGCCCAGUGACGGUGGGUUGAGCUUUUCAACAGGCCACGGUUUUCCUCCUACACUAGAGAAACUCUCGUGUGCGGGCGGCGGGGUGGGGGAUGUGAUGGAGACCUCCGUUUGAUGAAUGGUCCAGGUUGUGUCCACAAGCUGUGCACACCUCACUAAAUUCCAAACUCAAUGAUGGCCACCCCGACCUGUGGUCUGGGUGAUUGGCACCAGAUGCGAGUAACAUCCAAUGUUGCAGAGUAGAAUUGACAGGUAAUGUGUGCUGGCGUGAGCGGAUGACAAAAGCUGGAUUGGAAAACACAAGAGGAAAAGGGGCCUAAAACUGUCAUAUGCUGUUACGUUGCUGGCAGGAGCAGCAGAAUAGCGGAAAUCGAGAGAGGACCGAUUGAGAAUUCCCCCCCGAUUUUGCAGAAAUGCCUUCUGUUGUUCAACUGAGAUUCAUCCUCUCACACACUACAGAAAGGAUCUCACACAAAAAUCUCACCUAAAAUAUAUUUUGAGCACUUUGUCAGUGUGUAAGCAUAAAUGCAGUAUAAGAGCUUCGUAUGUGUGUUAGCGCUUCCUUUAUCAAUGGAGCACUUUUUGCGUUUAUGAGAGUUUUUUUGGUUUUGGUUUUUUAGAUGUGUCAGGAAGAGUAUAUUUUAGCUUAUAGUAUAAUGUUGCAAUAUUUUCCGCGUUGUUCUAAUUUCCAAACAACAAUUAGGCUCUAAGAGCUCAGUUGUUCUUAAACAACAGGGAAUUAGACUGUCCUGUUAAUUUAUUUAAGUUUGUUAAAACCAAGCUAAAGUUAUAAUCGUUUUUUUUUUCAAUUUUCUUCCAUGCCCUAAUCUUCCGUUAUCACAGACUUUUUCAAAUUUGUUUUACAUUUCUUCUUCAGUAACUUCACUAUCAGGAACGAGCUCCCUUAUUGCUCCAAAAUCGCUGGAUCGCCUCAAACUGAUUUAAGACAGCUGUACUCCCAGCAGGUUCAGACCAAGGCAAUAAUAAAUGAGUUCAGUACAUUGCAUAAUGAAUUUAACAACCUCCAAUUAUAAGGGGUUCGUUCUCGUAACCCUACGAGGGACUAAUUAAAGAAAAACAUCUUGUCACAUGUUCAAUGUCAUUGUUGCAUUUCACUGCAAGAGCACUGGAAAAAUAAGUGGUGUAAUUGGGCAAAUCUCAACGUCUUCACUUAUAUAAAAAAAAAUUAAAAAAAACAUCACAAGUUGCAGUUCGUUGUGGUCAUUAACCACCGCGCCGUCUGUGUGUUCUCUGUUUCCUCUGUAAAGCCCCUGGCCUGUGUGUGCCCUCCCAGCAGGUGGGAAUAUGUCCUGCAUCUGUUAUCUCUGUAGUUAUUGUCGGCAGCAGGUGCUCGCUCUGACAUUUGUGGGGCGGGUCUUCAGCCUUUGUCUUCAAUGCACAGAGGGGGACGGGGGGGAGUGCAGCAACCGUGGCUUUACUGCACCCGAUCUCCUGUAUGGAAUAUGCAUGGGUCUAUUACUCUCCCGCCCCUCCCACUGGUGUCACUGCACCAGUAAAGGACACGCAUCAUGCGCAGCGGAGGCUGGAACAAUUAGCAUGCACAGAAGCAAAGGUUGUCUUUCUGUAUUUUCAUAUGAAAGAAACUUGAACAAAGUUCAACAUCAGAGUGGGAGAUUAAUGUAAUUUCUUCUUUGAUGUUUAUGCUCAGCAUUCCUUAGAGACAAACUGGGCGGUGGUGAAAGACGGGGCUCUAGAGACGAGCGCUAUUUGAUUUAUCCCACCACUUAGAGCAGCGUUUCAUUAAUAAACCGCAACUGGCUUGGGACUUUUGGAGUUGGAGCUGCAGCAGUCUGCAUCUACACCAAGUAUAGGGGGGUUCUUAUAUAACUUGCAUUCUGUCCUCAUUAAAGGAAUAUGAUGUCAUAUUUUGUUGUAAAACCAUCUUAUUCAAGUUGUUGUAUAUAUUCAAGCACUUACAACAUGUGAACAAAUCAUUUUUGAAAUCAACGUUGAAAUGUAUUUUCAACCAAUAUUAAUUUUCACAGAACAGAACCUGAAUGCAUCAUAAUUUAUUUGAAAAAUGCAAAAUAUUAAAAGGAUACGGAUUGUUGAAACUGUAUUUCACACCUCAAUGGUUAACUUUAAACUGUGUACUAAUCCGCUGUUCGUCAUUGAAUGCCAGCUGUGGAUUAGUAAAGAAUCCCUAGCAUAUGUUAUUGGUGCAAUACAUUUAGCUGAGUAGCAGUGCAUCAGUGGUAUACGAAUGAAAUACUUGCAACAGUGCCUUCGGUUGAGCUCUUAAAUACCUCAAUAACAUUUGUUAUGAUUCUUGUAUAGGCCUGCAUGUGAUGGUCACCUGUAUGGACAAGAACUGAUUCACUCACUGUUUUAAAGAUGUAAGCGCCAAUCAAAAUAAAAUGGAAAAAAAGAGCUUGAAAUGAAAAUACUAUGCACAUACGGUUUUAGAACCGUUUCAAAGUACUAACUGUGUUGUAAUAAGUAAUCUAUUUUUCAUUUUAGUCUCGACAACUGAAUCAUUAGCAUACAAAAAAAGGUUUAAAAUAUUGCUU